AUGUCCCACAUACCUAAGAAAGCCGGGGAGGGUGGAACACCGAUAGACAGGAGAGGGUCCAAAUCAGAUGCAGAUUUUAAGGCAGAAAUAUUGAAAAUGUUCGGUGAAAUUAGACAGAGCGAAAAGAAUAUGGAGGAUAAAUUGGAGCAUGUGAACACAAGAAUAGAACAGGUGGAUAUGAGAAUUGGGAAAAUGGACCAAAAGAUUGACGAGACUGUAAAAGAAUUAAGAGGCCAAAUCAAAGAGGUCUCUAAAAGAACACAAUCUCUGGAAGAAGGAAUGAAAAAAACAAGAGUAGAAAUGAAGGAAAUAAAACGGGAAGAAGAGAAACUAAAAGCAGGAUUAUCCGAAGUUAACAAAAUGCAGGAGGAAGUCUGGGAUGCUAUCGCGAUGAACGAAUUGAGGCAACGGGAGGUGAACCUCAGGCUGAGAGCAAUCCCGGAAACACAAGGCGAAAAUAUCAGAGAGAAAUUGUUAAUAGAAAUUGCAAAAUGGUUGGCAAUACAAAAAGAAGUGGAAAGAGCAGUUCAAAAUGCGUUUAGAAUAAGAACAAGAACAACUAGAACAAAGAAAAUGCCAGGAGAUUGUCUGAUCACUUUUAAAGAUAAAGAUAUGAGGAACCUAAUUCUGCAAAAAAAUAGAGAAAGAAGAUUAAACAUCGAUGGGAACUAUAUAAUCAUCUUUAAAGAUAUCCCAGUGAGAUUGUUGAAACGAAGAGACCCAUAUAAGCCAUUGGUCCAAAUCCUCAAGAAGAAUAAGAUUGAAUUUAAAUGGGAAUUCCCUCAAGGGAUCUCAUUUAUUUACAAAAGCAAGAAACAUAGAAUUACUAGCCCGGAAGAAACAAGCAAAUUUCUGAGACGCUACAAGGAGUUGACGGUAGAAGAAGAGGAAGAAAGAGGAGCAGUAGGAGGAGUCAGUUUACUGGAGAGGAAGUACUUGGAAGAGGAGGGAAAGGAAAACGCAGAAUUUGUAGAAGAGGAGGGGGAGGAGGAAAAAGAGGAAGGGCCAGAGAUUGUGACUCUUAUCUUCAUACUGCAGGCAACAUCCCAGC
rnacentral:lncRNA from 1 species